rnacentral:lncRNA from 1 species
AUGUCUGCAUUCUAUAUCACUUUCUCCUAUUUCUCCUCAGAGGCUACGACUUCUACAGACUUUGGAGUUGCCACUGGAGUUGGAAUGGCAACUGGGAUCACCAACAUAAUUUCAGGGAGAAGCCAACCUACAGCAAGUAAAACAGGUGAGCGUGGGGAAUUGAAAAAGGUGAGGAUGGGAAAGGCCCUCGUUCAUGAUACUAACUUGGAAAAGAAGGAUCCCAGAGGACUGAAGCUAUCCAAAAUGAAUACUAUAAAACAGGGAAAACCAUGUUUAAUUUACCUCUUGGGAAAGGAAUCCUGGAGAAGGAAUGCAUUGUUUCACAGAAACACAUGGAUUUGUUCUAAACCAUGAUUUCGAUCCUAUAAAACACUGCUCAUAUUACCCCCUCUUCUUUCAACAUCUCAUCCCAGGCUACACUGUAACAGGCUCUGGAACAACAGCCUUACCUGGAGGUUUCAGAACAGGUAAGUCAAGUCGUAAAAGGAAUUCUCCUUUAAAUGGCUCUCAGUUAAGCAGUGUAAUUGGAUUGUUUGCAGCUCAGUGGAUGGAUACCCCAUUCUUAUUGAUGUUCUUAUUUCACAUUGCACCCCUGUAUCAAAACAUCUCAUGUACCCCAUAAAUAUAUACAUCUACUAUGUAUGCACAAAAUUUAAAAAUAUUAAUAAAAAUAAUAAAUGCUCUCAAGACAAUGUCAUCUAUUGCCAUAUCAUUUUCAUGUUGACAGAUUCUCCAUCUUUUCCACUUUUCUUAAUUUGCUCUUACAGAGGCCACAACUUUUAAAGGUGAUGUUGGAACCACUGAAGCAGAAAUUUCAUCAGGUGAGUUUUUUCACAUUUUGGAUUCUCCAUGAUGUCUCCAUUUGAGUUUACUAUGUACAGAUUUUGAAUGAAAAU